rnacentral:rRNA from 1 species
GAUGAACGCUAGCGGCAGGCCUAAUACAUGCAAGUCGGACGGGAUUGAGAAGCUUGCUUUUCAUGAGAGUGGCGCACGGGUGCGUAACACGUAUGUAACCUACCCAUAUCAGGGGGAUAGCCUCUCGAAAGAGAGAUUAAGACCGCAUAACAUUAUUGAAUGGCAUCAUUUAAUAAUCAAAUAUUUAUAGGAUAUGGAUGGGCAUGCGGAACAUUAGCUAGUUGGUAAGGUAACGGCUUACCAAGGCUACGAUGUUUAGGGGUUCUGAGAGGACGACCCCCCAAACUGGUACUGAGACAAGGCACAGGCUCUUUCGGGCGGAAGUAGUGAGGAAUAUUGGACAAUGUGCGGAGGUCUGACCCAGCCAUACCGCGUGCAGGAAGACGGCCCUAUGGGUUGUACACUGCUUUUGCAGGGGAAUAAACCUCGAUACGUGUAUCGUGCUGGAUGUACUCUGAGAAUAAGGAUCGGCUAACUCCGUGCAAGCAGCUGCGGUAA